UUUGAAGAAGGCGACUUUGUAGCUGGUCCUUGUCUAUGUUCCUUGGAACAGGACGUCAUAGAGGGUGAGAAUCCCGUGUGGCGAGGAUCCCAGUUAUUUGUAAAGUGCUUUCGACGAGUCGAGUUGUUUGGGAAUGCAGCUCUAAGUGGGUGGUAAAUUCCAUCUAAAGCUAAAUAUUGGCGAGAGACCGAUAGCGAACAAGUACAGUGAUGGAAAGAUGAAAAGAACUUUGAAAAGAGAGUGAAAAAGUACGUGAAAUUGUUGAAAGGGAAGGGCAUUUGAUCAGACAUGGCGUUUGCUUCGGCUUUCGCUGGGCCAGCAUCAGUUUUAGCGGUUGGAUAAAUCCUCGGGAAUGUGGCUCUGCUUCGGUAGAGUGUUAUAGCCCGUGGGAAUACAGCCAGCUGGGACUGAGGAUUGCGAC
rnacentral:rRNA from 1 species